GGCGCAGUUUUAUACGACCGCAGAGGUUGAAUCCUGAACGGUUGGGGCAAGUAUGGACACAACAUUCAAGCUGGAUUCAGCUCUAAAUUUGGAUUGUGAUUAAAUAGUUGACACAGCAGCAUAGGUUUCUAACACAAAAUGAAUGUUGUCUAAUGAACUUAAAAUUUUUGUUUUGCCUUUGAGCAAUUCACUAUGCUGUUGAAUAUUAAUCCUCUCAAAAAAAUGUUUGAAAAAUUUUCUUUUUAUUUAUGAAAUUUCAAAUAAG
rnacentral:lncRNA from 1 species